AUUGAACGCUGGCGGCAGGCCUAACACAUGCAAGUCGAGCGGAUGAAGGGAGCUUGCUCCUGGAUUCAGCGGCGGACGGGUGAGUAAUGCCUAGGAAUCUGCCUGGUAGUGGGGGAUAACGUCCGGAAACGGGCGCUAAUACCGCAUACGUCCUGAGGGAGAAAGUGGGGGAUCUUCGGACCUCACGCUAUCAGAUGAGCCUAGGUCGGAUUAGCUAGUUGGUGGGGUAAGGGCCUACCAAGGCGACGAUCCGUAACUGGUCUGAGAGGAUGAUCAGUCACACUGGAACUGAGACACGGUCCAGACUCCUACGGGAGGCAGCAGUGGGGAAUAUUGGACAAAGGGCGAAAGCCUGAUCCAGCCAUGCCGCGUGUGUGAAGAAGGUCUUCGGAUUGUAAAGCACUUUAAGUUGGGAGGAAGGGCAGUAAGUCAAUACCUUGCUGUUUUGACGUUACCAACAGAAUAAGCACCGGCUAACUUCGUG
rnacentral:rRNA from 1 species